rnacentral:rRNA from 1 species
GUCGAGCGAGGUAGCAAUACCUAGCGGCAGACGGGUGCGUAACAUGUGGGAAUCUGCCUUUUGGUUCGGAACAACACGAGGAAACUUGUGCUAAUACCGGAUAAGUCUUUACGGAGAAAGCUUUAUGCACCAUUGGAUGAGCCCGCACUUGAUUAGUUAGUUGGUAGGGUAAUGGCCUACCAAGACUGUGAUCAAUAGCUGAUUUGAGAGGAUGAUCAGCCACACUGGGACUGAGACACGGCCCAGACUCC